UUAUAAAUUCAGUAGGUUAGCAUAAGGCAGACAAGGUGUUUUGGGUAAAUCUGAUAUCUUUUAUUAGGCCAACUAAAAUAGUUGAAAACAUUCUUUUUUGCAAGCUUUCUGG